GGGCGAAUGGUCUAGGGGUAUGAUACUCCCUUCGCAUCGAGUAUUAUCUCGUAAUGAGUAUGGGAGGGGUCCGGGGUUCAAUUCCCCGUUCGUCCA